CAAGAGCGUAUAUUAAAGUUGCUGCGGUUAAAAAGCUCGUAGUUGGAUUUCAGUCUAGGAAGGUUAACUCGCCGAAAGGUUGUACGUUGAUUUUCCUCAGACUUCGUCAGAAGCUCGUGCUGCACUUAACUGUGUGGUACGAUGUUCUGACCUUUUACCUUGAGGAAAGUAGAGUGUUUCAGGCAGGCUACCCAGCUUGAAUACAUUAGCAUGGAAUAAUGAAAUGGAUCUCGGUUCGAUUUCGUUGGUUCUAGAGCUGAGGUGAUGAUCAAUAGGAACAGGCGAAGGUAUUCGUACUUGAGAGUGAGGAGUGAAAUCCGAUGAUCUCUUAAAGACGAUCCGAGGCGAAAGCAUUUGUCAAGGAUGGUUUCAUUGA
rnacentral:rRNA from 1 species